GCAAGUUUUUCAAAUGGAUCAACAUUGAAGGUUUGCAAAGUCCAUGCUUGUGGAUUGUAUAGAACUCAAAGUUGUCAAUACAAGUUCGAAUUACAUUAUUACAAAACUACAUCAUUCAUCAAAUUCCAAAUUUCAAGUACAAAUCAUCAUCAUGUUUUUACAAAUAUUUAUCACCAUUCAAGUUCAUUCAAGGUUCGAAUACAUUACAUCAUACCAAAAAUACACAAAAAUUCACUAUGUUUUAAACCUAUGUUUUCUUUACUCCUAAACAUAUUCCUAAUUUUUAUUCUUCAACCAAUUUCCAUGAUUCUCUUCAAGCUCCGAGGGUCAAUUAACAGAUGA